GAGGAGACACAAGAGGAAACAGACCUCCUGAUUGUGACCAUUGUUUUGAUGCUUCUGAGACUGAAGACCUCCGAUCAUUUUAUUGUGGGCGGUUCUAGGGGCGGGGCCACAGGGGCAUUGGCG